rnacentral:other from 1 species
GACAACCUGAGGGGUACGUCAUCUUCACAAUGUUCAACCUACGCAUUGACAUAGGGAAUUCGAUGUUACAGCAGCUGCCAAGCCGCCUUGAGCGGACGGCAAAAACUUAACUAGAAUGCCCACCUGCUAAGAGAAGCGGGUCUUGAACAUUCGAAGAAACGGCGUCUCGGGUUUCAC